AUUGAACGCUGGCGGAAUGCUUUACACAUGCAAGUCGAACGGCAGCACGGGGGCAACCCUGGUGGCGAGUGGCGAACGGGUGAGUAAUACAUCGGAACGUGCCCGGUCGUGGGGGAUAACGUAGCGAAAGUUACGCUAAUACCGCAUACGAUCUGAGGAUGAAAGCGGGGGACCUUCGGGCCUCGCGCGAUCGGAGCGGCCGAUGUCAGAUUAGGUAGUUGGUGGGGUAAAGGCCUACCAAGCCGACGAUCUGUAGCUGGUCUGAGAGGACGACCAGCCACACUGGGACUGAGACACGGCCCAACCUCCUACGGGGGGCAGCAGUGGGAAUUUUUGGCCAUUGGGCGAAAGCCUGACCCGGCCAUUCCGCUGGAAGGACAAAGGCCUUCGGUUUGUAACCUCUUUUUGUAUGGAACAAAAAGGCCUUGGUUAAUACCUGGGCUCAUGACGGUACCGUAAGAAUAAGCACCGGCUAACUACGUG
rnacentral:rRNA from 1 species